rnacentral:rRNA from 1 species
UGGGGAAUCUUAGACAAUGGGGGAAACCCUGAUCUAGCCAUGCCGCGUGAUCGAUGAAGGCCUUAGGGUUGUAAAGAUCUUUCAGGUGGGAAGAUAAUGACUGUACCACCAGAAGAAGCCCCGGCUACCUCAGUGCCAGCAGCCGCGGUAAUACGGAGGGGGCUAGCGUUCUUCGGAAUUACUGGGCGUAAAGCGCCCGUAGGCGGACUGGAAAGUCAGAGGUGAAAUCCCAGGGCUCAACCUUGGAACUGCCUUUGAAACGCUCAGUCUUGAGGUCGAGAGAGGUGAGUGGAAUUCCGAGUGUAGAGGUGAAAUUCGUAGAUAUUCGGAGGAACACCAGUGGCGAAGGCGGCUCACUGGCUCGAUACUGACGCUGAGGUGUGAAAGCGUGGGGAGCAAACA